UACCAUUAUGUCUUUUUACAGGUAAUUCUCGACUUAAAACUGCAGUGAGCCCAAGACUUCUGCUGUUAAUCUUUUUUAGGACACAGGAAAUAUUUCCCAUAGGAAAUAGGAGCUGAUCUGAAAAUUAUUAAACUGCAAUGCAAAUUUCACAGCACAAAAGGUUGUCUGACUGUCAGAUUUCGAAAAAGCAGACACAUCUAAACCUUCACCUUUGUUGCACUGCUCAUAUAAAGUCUGAAAUUUAAAAAGACAAGACAAAUUAAAUAAUCUUUCCUCUUUACUUUCAAAUGCCCUUACUUUCUUCCCCCCACCCUUAUGGAACAGUGAGCUUAAUCCUUUUUUGUCGUCAUCUCUAACUAAAACAAAUCCUUAAUAAAUAUUUACUCUUCUUCCCACCCCAAGUUUUUAUUUUUGCUUCUGUUUUUAUUCCAUUCUCUCAGCCACUUAGGAGAUGAUUUUUUGCUAUUUUUUUCUAAAACUUCUUUAGUAGUGGUAUGUAAGUGCCAGUUCAUUAUAUACACAAGCACAGUGAAAGCAUAAAAAGGGAGUUCCAAUGUUACACACAUCCUGCAAAUAACAGAAUUUGUAACAGAAUUUGAUGCAGCCCUUAUUUUUCUCCUCUUAUUUUCUACUUAGCAUACCGGUACUUUUUUAUUCUUCUGGAGGAGAAAAAGAAAUAACUAUCAAAGAAACCUGGUUGAUGUUACA